CAACGGCAAGGGUUACGGAAUACACCAGAAAGUUCGAAGGAGCUACAAACGAACCACUGUUACCCGAUGGUGCAGUUGAAUUAGAUCCUGGUGACCCCGGUGCAGCUGCUGCUCCCCCGGGUCCUGAUGCCCCUGCUCCCCCGGGUCCUGGUGAAGUCGCUGCUCCACCAGGUCCUGGUGCCGGAGGACCACCUGCUGCGGUAGAUGGACCACCUGCUGGUGAAAGAGCUGGUGGUCCACCUGCCGGAGAAGGAGAUGAAGCCAUAGGUCCACCAGCCGGAGGUGUGCUGACAACUGGAGAAGGAGAUGAUGCCAUAGGUCCACCAGCCGGUGGUGUGCUCACUACUGGAGAUGGAGAUGAUGCCGUAGGACCGCUGGUCGGAACAGGGGAGCUUGCUGGAGGAAUAGCCACUGGAGAUGGUGGUGAACCAGAGGGUGAUGGAGUGGUUGUCGUUGGUGACGGUGAAGGUGGUGACAAUCCACCAGCACUUGGUGAAGGAGAAGAUUUUGGUGUUCGUGGAGAUAUAACAACAAGGGUUAAUUUCUGACCGUUUUCACAGUUUUGAUCUUUUCCACUGAUGAAAUAGAAUGGCCCUGCUCUGUCCAAAGUGAACUCUGUUUCACCAUCUUCGAACUUCUUGAUUGGGUUUGUUUUGUUGCACUUUUCAUAAUCUUCUUUCUUCACUUCCAACACCGAGUCUGAACCCUUCUUGUACUUGAAAACUAAUAUUUAUAAGACAAAGAAAUUAAUAUUUUUCUAAGUUCCAAUUUUUUUUUAGGAAAAACAAGGAUAUUAAUUUCAAUUUAAAGGAUCAUACAAUAGAGUUGUGCGUAUAUUUUAAACUACAACGAAAUUAUUGUGAUUUUGUCAAUUUCAUCACUAUAAUUCCAAACAACAAAAUCCACACUAAACACAUAUUCAACUAUUUUCUAGCAAAGUAUCCCUAGACCAAAAAUUAAUUUCAUAUAUACUAUUAAAAAAAAACAAACAUGAUGACAAAUAAAACUUCAUCUCCUUCAAAAAAAAAAAAAACUUCAUCUAUCUAUUAUUUGAGUAAUUGAAACUGAUCAAAACCAUUGAGUUGUAUGUUACAUAUAAUUAAAUUAAAUUAAUAAUAACGUGGGGUAUGUUAUUGUUACCUAUAGUGUCACUGAUUUGGAACCUGUUCCUUCCAGCCCACUGGUUGUAAUUCUCAGAAGGGUUUAGAGUCCAUCCAUCCUUUCCACCAACGAAAAACUUGAAGGCUUGAGAAGUUGAGACAACAAGAGUGAAGAGAACAAAGAAGAGAGGUAUCUUAAACUCCAUAGCAAAAUGUGUGAAGGAU
rnacentral:lncRNA from 1 species